CUGACUGCUAUCGGAUUGGUACUAAUCCAUGCGAGUCAUUGUAGCAAUUCAAGGCGGACGGCUCAGUAACACGUAGUCAACCUAACUCGUGGACGUGGAUAACCUCGGGAAACUGAGAAUAAACCACGAUAGAUCAUAGUUCCUGGAAUGGCUUAUGGUCCAAACAGUUUCCUGCCAUGGGAUGGGACUGCGGCUUAUCAGCUUGUUCGUGAGGUAAUGGCCCAUCAAGGCGAUUACAGGUACGGGCUCUGAGAGGAGUAGCCCCGAGAUGGGUACUGAGACACGGACCCAAGCCCUAUGGGGCGCAGCAGGCGAGAAACCUUAGCAAUGUGCGAAAGCACGACUGGGUCAGUCCGAGUGAUUCCUGAUAAAGGAGUCUUUUGCCUGUCGUAAAAGCACAGGUGAAUAAGGGGUGGGCAAGUCUCGUGUCUGCCUCCGCGGUAAUCCCAGCACCUCGAGUGCUCAGGACGUUUAUUGGGCCUAAAGCAUCCGUAGCCGCCUCUGCAAGUCUUUGGUUAAAUCCACCUGCUCAACAGAUGGGCCGCUGGAGAUACUACAUAGCUAGGGAGUGGGAGAGGCAGACGGUCUUCAGUGUGUAGGGGUAAAAUCCUCUGAUCCAUUGAGGACCACCAGUGGCGAAGCCGGUCUGUCAGAACACGUUCGACGGUGAGGGAUGAAAGUUGCGGGAGCAAUCCGGAUUAGAUACCCGGGUAGUCCCAGCUGUAAUCGAUGCAAACCUCGGUGAUACAUUGGCUUAUGGCCAAUGCAGUGCCGCAGGGAAGCCGUUAAGUUUGCCGCCUGGGAAGUACGGACGCAAGUCGGAAACUUAAAGGAAUGCGCGGGGCAGCAC
rnacentral:rRNA from 1 species